CCUACGGGAGGCAGCAGUGGGGAAUAUUGCACAAUGGGGGAAAGCCUGAUGCAGCGACGCCGCGUGAGUGAAGAAGUAUUUCGGUGUGUAAAGCUCCAUCAGCAGGGAAGAAGAAAGACGGUACCUGACUAAGCAGCCCCGGCUAACUCCGUGCCAGCCGCCGCGGUAAUACGUAGGAGGCAAGCGUUAUCCGGAUUUACUGGGUGUAACGGGAGCGUAGACGGCUGUGCAAGUCUGAAGUGAAAGGCCAGGGCUCAACCCUGGGACUGCUUUGGAAACUGUGGAGCUAGAGUGCUGGUGAGGUAAGUGGAAUGCCUGGUGUAGCGGUGAAAUGCGUAGAGAUCAGACAGAACACCAGUGGCGAAGGCGGCUUACUGGACAAUAACUGACGUUGAGGCACGAAAGCGUGGGGAGCAAACAGGAUUAGAUACCCCUGUAGUC
rnacentral:rRNA from 1 species